GGAUCCAGACUUUGAUUAUGGCUCAGGAUGAACGCUAGCUACAGGCUUAACACAUGCAAGUCGAGGGGAAACGAUAUUGGAAGCUUGCUUCCGAUAGGCGUCGACCGGCGCACGGGUGAGUAACGCGUAUCCAACCUGCCCACCACUUGGGGAUAACCUUGCGAAAGUAAGACUAAUACCCAAUGAUAUCUCUAGAAGACAUCUGAAAGGGAUUAAAGAUUUAUCGGUGAUGGAUGGGGAUGCGUCUGAUUAGCUUGUUGGCGGGGUAACGGCCCGCCAAGGCGACGAUCAGUAGGGGUUCUGAGAGGAAGGUCCCCCACAUUGGAACUGAGACACGGUCCAAACUCCUACGGGAGGCAGCAGUGAGGAAUAUUGGUCAAUGGACGAGAGUCUGAACCAGCCAAGUAGCGUGCAGGAUGACGGCCCUAUGGGUUGUAAACUGCUUUUAUAAGGGAAUAAAGUGAGCUACGUGUAGCUUUUUGCAUGUACCUUAUGAAUAAGAACCGGCUAAUUCCGUGCCAGCAGCCGCGGUAAUACGGAAGGUCCGGGCGUUAUCCGGAUUUAUUGGGUUUAAAGGGAGCGUAGGCCGGAGAUUAAGCGUGUUGUGAAAUGUAGAUGCUCAACAUCUGCACUGCAGCGCGAACUGGUUUCCUUGAGUACGCACAAAGUGGGCGGAAUUCGUGGUGUAGCGGUGAAAUGCUUAGAUAUCACGAAGAACUCCGAUUGCGAAGGCAGCUCACUGGAGCGCAACUGACGCUGAAGCUCGAAAGUGCGGGUAUCGAACAGGAUUAGAUACCCUGGUAGUCCGCACGGUAAACGAUGGAUGCCCGCUGUUGGUCUGAAUAGGUCAGCGGCCAAGCGAAAGCAUUAAGCAUCCCACCUGGGGAGUACGCCGGCAACGGUGCAACUCAAAGGAAUUGACGG
rnacentral:rRNA from 1 species